ensembl:lncRNA
GGAUCAAGAGUCCAGACAUAGCUUACCUGUAUCCUUUGCCUCUUUGUCUCUUACAAGGCCAAAUCAAGUUGUCAGGCCAGGAUCUGCAGUCACAGCCAAAGUUUCAACUGGGAAUGUUCUUCCAAGUUCACUCAGUGGUACUUGGAGAAAUUUACUUCCUUGGGCUCUUCUGGACCAAAAGCUUCUUUUCCUUACUGGUUUUUUAUUGGCCCACCCUCAGAGGCUUGCCAUGUGGGCCUCUCCAAUGUGGCAGCUUAUUUCAUAAAAGCAUGCAUACCAAGAAGGCAAUAGAGAGAGUUGGCUAACAAGAUGGAAGUAACCUACUCAUGGAAGGUGAUACCCCUCAACGUUGCCAUAAUCUAUUGGCAAGUACAAAAGCAAGGUACUAAAGAGAAGGAGAGUAUACCAUGCCAUGAAUAUCAGGAAGUAGGGCUCAGUGGGAGCCAUCUCAGAGACUGCCUACCACACUGGCCUCAGAAAAUGCAGUUCUCUGGGCCAGUUUAUUUUUAAUUUCUGAAAUCCAAGGACAUAUUUCCUUCUAAACAUUUUAAGCAUACCAUUUCCAAUCCACUCUUUGGGUUGAUAAUUCUAUGUGAAAGCAGGGUUUCCUUGCCUGCUCCUGCACCCAGUCUGGUUUCAUCCUAUCUGAGUCACAACAGAGUCCCUGUAGAUCUACACAUCUGCCUUUGUGUGUGUUUUUACCUCCUUCUAGAAUAAUUCCUCUUCCUUUAUCCAUUGUAGGGACUCUUGUUCAUCUUUUAAGAUUUAGCUUAUGCAAUGAUAGCUUUAAAAAAAAUCCUCCACUAAUGUCCUCUACAUACACAUACUCACACUGAAUUCUACAGGUUGAGAGAGGUUCCAUUUAUAAAUUUUAUCAACAUUUAUUAAGAGGCUAAUCUGUGCCUGGUACAUACCAGGCCACAAUCAACAGGUAUUGAUAGCAUCAACAAACAAGUAAAUGGUGACAGGUUAUAAUGAGUACAUUAAGUAGGGAUAAAUCUAUGCUUCAGGAGCCCAAAACAGCGAGCAAGAUGUCUCUUCAUCUUGCUGAAAAAUCUCUGCUUGCUAAGUGCAAUCAUACCAGCCAGUCACUGAUACUGUGAUGUUCCUUAACGGUUGAUCUGCUUCUGUGGGAAGCCAGCACUGUAGCUUCACAUGAAGACUCAUCCCAGGCCUCCAGAGGCUAAAGAUGAUGCCACAAUGUUAUUCUCAUGUUUAUUAGAGCUUUGGGAAAUUUCAGUUAAUAUUAAACAACAGCAGGACCUCUCUCACACCUCAUUCUCUUGAGCUGAGUCCAAGAAAACUCAGUUUCAGUCCUUGGAAACCCAAAAAUAUUUAGUUAACUUAGGGUGCCCACAUUUUCCUGGGCUGACUGAAACCAGUGCUGCUGUACUACAUAAAAAAACAGUGAAUGGAGGACACCCUUAUAACUGUUACAACUGUAUCUACAGAGGUGGGAACUAAAAGGAGCACAUGGGCUACUGGCAAACGACUAGGAAUAGGUACUGUGGGAUGUACCCGAUUCCAAAAGCAAUGGUUAGUCGAUGGAGAAAAGGCAGAUCAUCUAGGUAGGGCUCAGUUUUCCUCAAAGAGCAAAAGUCCCACGGAGGGGUUUAAAAGACUUUGUGGAGUUUCCAUUGUGGCACAGUGGCAACUAGCAUCCAUGAGGAUGCGGGUUUGAUACCUGGCUUCGCUCAGUGGGUUGGGGAUCCAGCGAUGCUGCAAGCUGUGGUGUAGGUCACAUGGCUCAGAUCCCCUGUUGCUAUGGCUAUGACAUAGGCCAGCAGCUGUAGCUCUGAUUCAACCCCUAGCCUGGGAACUUCUAAACACCAUGGGUGUGGGCCUAAAAAAUUUAAAAAAAAAUUUUUUUUAAGACUUUUUUUGUUGUUUUGGUUACGUUUAGAGUCUCAUCUGCAUUGAUAACAGAUGAGCAGUGUGUUGGUAUGUGUGUGCAGUGGUGUUGGUAUGUGUGUGCAGUGGUGUUGGUAUGUGCCUUCUGCUGGUUCUGCUGGUUUUCCACUUUGUGUUAGGUACGUGGCUUUCCCUGAGGCUCUCAGACUAUCUUUCUUUCAGGCAUAUGCUUCCAGGAGCCAAUUAAAAACCACCUUAAAGUUUUUCACCCUUACAUGAAGAUGCUGCUCACUCUAAAUCUCCCUAGCUCAAACCC